GUAGUGGUGCUUCAGUAGUAGAAUUCUCACCUUCCAUGCGAGAGGCCUGGGUUCAAUUCCCAGCCAAUGCC
rnacentral:tRNA from 1 species